rnacentral:rRNA from 1 species
AGAGUUUGAUCCUGGCUCAGGACGAAUUCUGGCGGCGCGCCUAACACAUGCAAGUCGAACGAGAGAUGAAGAGCUUGCUCUUCAAAUCGAGUGGCGAACGGGUGAGUAACGCGUGAGGAACCUGCCUCAAAGAGGGGGACAACAGUUGGAAACGACUGCUAAUACCGCAUAAGCCCACGGCUCGGCAUCGAGCAGAGGGAAAAGGAGCAAUCCGCUUUGAGAUGGCCCCGCGUCCGAUUAGCUAGUUGGUGAGGUAACGGCCCACCAAGGCGACGAUCGGUAGCCGGACUGAGAGGUUGAACGGCCACAUUGGGACUGAGACACGGCCCAGACUCCUACGGGAGGCAGCAGUGGGGAAUAUUGCACAAUGGGGGAAACCCUGAUGCAGCGACGCCGCGUGGAGGAAGAAGGUCUUCGGAUUGUAAACUCCUGUUGUUGAGGAAGAUAAUGACGGUACUCAACAAGGAAGUGACGGCUAACUACGUGCCAGCAGCCGCGGUAAAACGUAGGUCACAAGCGUUGUCCGGAAUUACUGGGUGUAAAGGGAGCGCAGGCGGGAGAACAAGUUGGAAGUGAAAUCCAUGGGCUCAACCCAUGAACUGGCUUUCAAACUGUUUUUCUUGAGUAGUGCAGAGGUAGGCGGAAUUCCCGGUGUAGCGGUGGAAUGCGUAGAUAUCGGGAGGAACACCAGUGGCGAAGGCGGCCUACUGGGCACCAACUGACGCUGAGGCUCGAAAGUGUGGGUAGCAAACAGGAUUAGAUACCCUGGUAGUCCACACCGUAAACGAUGAUUACUAGGUGUUGGAGGAUUGACCCCUUCAGUGCCGCAGUUAACACAAUAAGUAAUCCACCUGGGGAGUACGACCGCAAGGUUGAAACUCAAAGGAAUUGACGGGGGCCCGCACAAGCAGCGGAGCAUGUGGCUUAAUUCGAAGCAACGCGAAGAACCUUACCAGGGCUUGACAUAUGGGUGAAGCGGGGGAGACCCCGUGGCCGAGAGGAGCCCAUACAGGUGGUGCAUGGCUGUCGUCAGCUCGUGUCGUGAGAUGUUGGGUUAAGUCCCGCAACGAGCGCAACCCCCGCCGCGUGUUGCCAUCGGGUGAUGCCGGGAACCCACGCGGGACCGCCGCCGUCAAGGCGGAGGAGGGCGGGGACGACGUCAAGUCAUCAUGCCCCUUAUGCCCUGGGCUGCACACGUGCUACAAUGGCCGGUACAGAGGGAUGCCACCCCGCGAGGGGGAGCGGAUCCCGGAAAGCCGGCCCCAGUUCGGAUUGGGGGCUGCAACCCGCCCCCAUGAAGUCGGAGUUGCUAGUAAUCGCGGAUCAGCAUGCCGCGGUGAAUGCGUUCCCGGGCCUUGCACACACAGGCCGUCA